AUUGAACGCUGGCGGCAGGCCUAACACAUGCAAGUCGAGCGGAGCGGCGGACGGGUGAGUAAUGCCUCGGAAUCUGCCUGGUAGUGGGGGAUAACGCCCGGAAAAGGGAGCUAAUACCGCAUACUAUCAGAUGAGACGAGGCCGGAUUAGCUAGUUGGUGGGGUAAAGGCCUACCAAGGAGACGAUACGUACCUGGGCUGAGAGGAUGAUCAGCCACACUGGCACUGAGACACGGUCCAGACUCCGACGGGAGGCAGCUGUGGGGAAUAUUGGACAAUGGGCGAAAGCUUGAUCCAGCCAUGCCGCGUGUGUGAAGAAGGUCUUCUGAUUGUAAAGCACUUUAAGUAGGGAGGCGUUACCAACAGAAUAAGCUCCGGCUAACUUCGUGCCAGCAGCCGCGGUAAUUC
rnacentral:rRNA from 1 species